rnacentral:rRNA from 1 species
GACGAACGCUGGCGGCGUGCUUAACACAUGCAAGUCGAACGGAAAGGCCCUGCUUUUGUGGGGUGCUUGAGUGGCGAACGGGUGAGUAACACGUGAGUAACCUGCCCUUGACUUUGGGAUAACUUCAGGAAACUGGGGCUAAUACCGGAUAGGAGCUCCUGCUGCAUGGUGGGGGUUGGAAAGUUUCGGCGGUUGGGGAUGGACUCGCGGCUUAUCAGCUUGUUGGUGGGGUAGUGGCUUACCAAGGCUUGGACGGGUAGCCGGCCUGAGAGGGUGACCGGCCACAUUGGGACUGGGAUACGGCCCAGACUCCUACGGGAGGCAGCAGUGGGGAAUAUUGCACAAUGGGCGGAAGCCUGAUGCAGCAACGCCGCGUGCGGGAUGACGGCCUUCGGGCUGUAAACCGCUUUCGCCUGUGACGAAGCGUGAGUGACGGUAAUGGGUAAAGAAGCACCGGCUAACUACGUG